UGGGGAAUCUUGCGCAAUGGUCGAAAGACUGACGCAGCGACGCCGCGUGCGGGAGGAAGCUCUUCGGGGUGUAAACCGCUGUUGCCCGGAACGAAACUCCAGAUUCGUCUGGAUUGACGGUACCGGGUGAGGAAGCGCCGGCUAACUCUGUGCCAGCAGCCGCGGUAAUACAGAGGGCGCGAGCGUUGUCCGGAAUCACUGGGCGUAAAGGGCGCGUAGGUGGCCACUAUAAGGCCGCGGUGAAAGUUCGGGGCUCAACCCCGAAUCUGCCGCGGCGACUGUAGGGCUUGGGCACUGUAGAGGCAGAUGGAAUUCCGGGUGUAGCGGUGGAAUGCGUAGAGAUCCGGAAGAACACCAGUGGCGAAGGCGGUCUGCUGGGCAGUGGGAGCGCAAGCUCCUCUUAGCCGACACUGAGGCGCGACAGCGUGGGGAGCAAACAGG
rnacentral:rRNA from 1 species